GAUGAACGCUAGCGGCAGGCUUAACACAUGCAAGUCGAGGGGUAGAGGAAGCUUGCUUCCUUGAGACCGGCGCACGGGUGCGUAACGCGUAUGCAACCUACCUUUUACAGAGGGAUAGCCCAGAGAAAUUUGGAUUAAUACCUCAUAGUAUAUAGUCUUCGCAUGUUGACUAUAUUAAAGUUCCAACGGUAAAAGAUGGGCAUGCGUCCUAUUAGCUAGAUGGUAAGGUAACGGCUUACCAUGGCAACGAUAGGUAGGGGUCCUGAGAGGGAGAUCCCCCAGACUGGUACUGAGACACGGACCAGACUCCUACGGGAGGCAGCAGUGAGGAAUAUUGGACAAUGGGCGCAAGCCUGAUCCAGCCAUGCCGCGUGCAGGAAGAAGCAUCUAUGGUGUGUAAACUGCUUUUGUACAGGAAGAAACACCCCGACGUGUCGGGGCUUGACGGUACUGUAAGAAUAAGGAUCGGCUAACUUCGUGCCAGCCGCCGCGGUAAAAC
rnacentral:rRNA from 1 species